rnacentral:rRNA from 1 species
GACGAACGCUGGCGGCGUGCCUAAUACAUGCAAGUCGAGCGAAUCGAUGGGAGCUUGCUCCCUGAGAUUAGCGGCGGACGGGUGAGUAACACGUGGGUAACCUGCCUGUAAGACUGGGAUAACUUCGGGAAACCGGAGCUGAUACCGGAUACUUUCUUUUCUCGCAUGAGGGAAGAUGGAAAGAUGGUUCUGCUAUCACUUACAGAUGGACCCGCGGCGCAUUAGCUAGUUGGUGAGGUAACGGCUCACCAAGGCAACAAUGCGUAGCCGACCUGAGAGGGUGGUCGGCAACACUGGGACUGAGACACGGCCCAGACGCCUACGGGAGGCAGCAGUAGGGAAUCUUCCGCAAUGGACGAAAGUCUGACGGAGCAACGCCGCGUGAGCGAAGAAGGCCUUCGGGUCGUAAAGCUCUGUUGUUAGGGAAGAACAAGUACGAGAGUAACUGCUCGUACCUUGACGGUACCUAACCAGAAAGCCACGGCUAACUACGUGCCAGCCGCCGCGGUAAAAC